rnacentral:rRNA from 1 species
UACAGAGGUGGCAAGCGUUGUUCGGAAUUACUGGGCGUAAAGGGCGCGUAGGCGGCCUUCUAAGUCAGACGUGAAAUCCCCCGGCUUAACCUGGGAACUGCGUCUGAUACUGGAGGGCUUGAGUAUGGGAGAGGGAUGUGGAAUUCCAGGUGUAGCGGUGAAAUGCGUAGAUAUCUGGAGGAAUACCGGUGGCGAAGGCGGCAUCCUGGACCAUUACUGACGCUGAGGCGCGAAAGCUAGGGGAGCAAGCGGG